rnacentral:rRNA from 1 species
GCGUUAAUCGGAAUUACUGGGCGUAAAGCGUGCGUAGGCGGUUGACUAAGUCAGAUGUGAAAGCCCCGGGCUUAACCUGGGAACUGCAUUUGAAACUGGUCAACUAGAGUAUGGUAGAGGAAAGUGGAAUUUCUGGUGUAGCGGUGAAAUGCGUAGAUAUCAGAAGGAACAUCGAUGGCGAAGGCAGCUUUCUGGACCAAUACUGACGCUGAGGUACGAAAGCGUGGGUAGCAAACAGGAUUAGAUACCCUGGUAGUCCACGCCGUAAACGAUGAUAACUAGCCGUUGGGAGGGUUUACCUCUUAGUGGCGAAGCUAACGCGUUAAGUUAUCCGCCUGGGGAGUACGGCCGCAAGGCUAAAACUCAAAGGAAUUGACGGGGACCCGCACAAGCGGUGGAGCAUGUGGUUUAAUUCGAUGCAACGCGAAGAACCUUACCUGGUCUUGACAUACAGAGAACUUUCCAGAGAUGGAUUGGUGCCUUCGGGAACUCUGAUACAGGUGCUGCAUGGCUGUCGUCAGCUCGUGUCGUGAGAUGUUGGGUUAAGUCCCGUAACGAGCGCAACCCUUAUCCUUAUUUGCCAGCACUUCGGGUGGGAACUAUAAGGAGACUGCCGGUGAUAAACCGGAGGAAGGCGGGGACGACGUCAAGUCAUCAUGGCCCUUACGACCAGGGCUACACACGUGCUACAAUGGGAAGGACAAAGGGUCGCUAAGCCGCGAGGUGGUGCUAAUCUCAUAAACCUUUUCGUAGUCCGGAUCGGAGUCUGCAACUCGACUCCGUGAAGUCGGAAUCGCUGGUAAUCGUGGAUCAGAACGCCACGGUGAAUACGUUCCCGGGUCUUGUACACACCGCCCGUCAUACCAUGGGAGUGGGUUGCACCAGAAGUGGGUAGUCUAACU